rnacentral:rRNA from 1 species
GGGACACGUGGUAUCCUGUCUGAAUAUGGGGGGACCAUCCUCCAAGGCUAAAUACUCCUGACUGACCGAUAGUGAACCAGUACCGUGAGGGAAAGGCGAAAAGAACCCCGGCGAGGGGAGUGAAAAAGAACCUGAAACCGUGUACGUACAAGCAGUGGGAGCACGCUUAGGCGUGUGACUGCGUACCUUUUGUAUAAUGGGUCAGCGACUUAUAUUCUGUAGCAAGGUUAACCGAAUAGGGGAGCCGAAGGGAAACCGAGUCUUAACUGGGCGUUAAGUUGCAGGGUAUAGACCCGAAACCCGGUGAUCUAGCCAUGGGCAGGUUGAAGGUUGGGUAACACUAACUGGAGGACCGAACCGACUAAUGUUGAAAAAUUAGCGGAUGACUUGUGGCUGGGGGUGAAAGGCCAAUCAAACCGGGAGAUAGCUGGUUCUCCCCGAAAGCUAUUUAGGUAGCGCCUCGUGAAUUCAUCUCCGGGGGUAGAGCACUGUUUCGGCAAGGGGGUCAUCCCGACUUACCAACCCGAUGCAAACUGCGAAUACCGGAGAAUGUUAUCACGGGAGACACACGGCGGGUGCUAACGUCCGUCGUGAAGAGGGAAACAACCCAGACCGCCAGCUAAGGUCCCAAAGUCAUGGUUAAGUGGGAAACGAUGUGGGAAGGCCCAGACAGCCAGGAUGUUGGCUUAGAAGCAGCCAUCAUUUAAAGAAAGCGUAAUAGCUCACUGGUCGAGUCGGCCUGCGCGGAAGAUGUAACGGGGCUAAACCAUGCACCGAAGCUGCGGCAGCGACACUAUGUGUUGUUGGGUAGGGGAGCGUUCUGUAAGCCUGUGAAGGUGUGCUGUGAGGCAUGCUGGAGGUAUCAGAAGUGCGAAUGCUGACAUAAGUAACGAUAAAGCGGGUGAAAAGCCCGCUCGCCGGAAGACCAAGGGUUCCUGUCCAACGUUAAUCGGGGCAGGGUGAGUCGACCCCUAAGGCGAGGCCGAAAGGCGUAGUCGAUGGGAAACAGGUUAAUAUUCCUGUACUUGGUGUUACUGCGAAGGGGGGACGGAGAAGGCUAUGUUGGCCGGGCGACGGUUGUCCCGGUUUAAGCGUGUAGGCUGGUUUUCCAGGCAAAUCCGGAAAAUCAAGGCUGAGGCGUGAUGACGAGGCACUACGGUGCUGAAGCAACAAAUGCCCUGCUUCCAGGAAAAGCCUCUAAGCAUCAGGUAACAUCAAAUCGUACCCCAAACCGACACAGGUGGUCAGGUAGAGAAUACCAAGGCGCUUGAGAGAACUCGGGUGAAGGAACUAGGCAAAAUGGUGCCGUAACUUCGGGAGAAGGCACGCUGAUAUGUAGGUGAAGUCCCUCGCGGAUGGAGCUGAAAUCAGUCGAAGAUACCAGCUGGCUGCAACUGUUUAUUAAAAACACAGCACUGUGCAAACACGAAAGUGGACGUAUACGGUGUGACGCCUGCCCGGUGCCGGAAGGUUAAUUGAUGGGGUUAGCCGCA